AGUCGAGCGAGCUUGCCUAGAUGAGUUUGGUGCUUGCACCAGAUGAAACUAGAUACAAGCGAGCGGCGGACGGGUGAGUAACACGUGGGUAACCUGCCCAAGAGACUGGGAUAACACCUGGAAACAGAUGCUAAUACCGGAUAACAACACUAGACGCAUGUCUAGAGUUUAAAAGAUGGUUCUGCUAUCACUCUUGGAUGGACCUGCGGUGCAUUAGCUAGUUGGUAAGGUAACGGCUUACCAAGGCAAUGAUGCAUAGCCGAGUUGAGAGACUGAUCGGCCACAUUGGGACUGAGACACGGCCCAAACUCCUACGGGAGGCAGCAGUAGGGAAUCUUCCACAAUGGACGCAAGUCUGAUGGAGCAACGCCGCGUGAGUGAAGAAGGGUUUCGGCUCGUAAAGCUCUGUUGGUAGUGAAGAAAGAUAGAGGUAGUAACUGGCCUUUAUUUGACGGUAAUUACUUAGAAAGUCACGGCUAACUACGUGCCAGCAGCCGCGGUAAUACGUAGGUGGCAAGCGUUGUCCGGAUUUAUUGGGCGUAAAGCGAGUGCAGGCGGUUCAAUAAGUCUGAUGUGAAAGCCUUCGGCUCAACCGGAGAAUUGCAUCAGAAACUGUUGAACUUGAGUGCAGAAGAGGAGAGUGGAACUCCAUGUGUAGCGGUGGAAUGCGUAGAUAUAUGGAAGAACACCAGUGGCGAAGGCGGCUCUCUGGUCUGCAACUGACGCUGAGGCUCGAAAGCAUGGGUAGCGAACAGGAUUAGAUACCCUGGUAGUCCAUGCCGUAAACGAUGAGUGCUAAGUGUUGGGAGGUUUCCGCCUCUCAGUGCUGCAGCUAACG
rnacentral:rRNA from 1 species